AACGGAGGAGCACGAAGGUUAGCUAAUCCUGGUCGGACAUCAGGAGGUUAGUGCAAUGGCAUAAGCUAGCUUGACUGCGAGCGUGACGGCGCGAGCAGGUGCGAAAGCAGGUCAUAGUGAUCCGGUGGUUCUGAAUGGAAGGGCCAUCGCUCAACGGAUAAAAGGUACUCCGGGGAUAACAGGCUGAUACCGCCCAAGAGUUCAUAUCGACGGCGGUGUUUGGCACCUCGAUGUCGGCUCAUCACAUCCUGGGGCUGAAGUAGGUCCCAAGGGUAUGGCUGUUCGCCAUUUAAAGUGGUACGCGAGCUGGGUUUAGAACGUCGUGAGACAGUUCGGUCCCUAUCUGCCGUGGGCGCUGGAGAAUUGAGGGGGGCUGCUCCUAGUACGAGAGGACCGGAGUGGACGCAUCACUGGUGUUCGGGUUGUCAUGCCAAUGGCACUGCCCGGUAGCUAAA
rnacentral:rRNA from 1 species